AGUGAACGCUGGCGGUAGGCCUAACACAUGCAAGUCGAACGGCAGCACAGUAAGAGCUUGCUCUUACGGGUGGCGAGUGGCGGACGGGUGAGGAAUACAUCGGAAUCUACUUUUUCGUGGGGGAUAACGUAGGGAAACUUACGCUAAUACCGCAUACGACCUACGGGUGAAAGCAGGGGAUCUUCGGACCUUGCGCGAUUGAAUGAGCCGAUGUCGGAUUAGCUAGUUGGCGGGGUAAAGUCCCACCAAGGCGACGAUCCGUAGCUGGUCUGAGAGGAUGAUCAGCCACACUGGAACGGAGACACGGUCCAGACUCCUACGGGAGGCAGCAGUGGGGAAUAUUGGACAAUGGGCGCAAGCAUGAUCCAGCCAUACCGCGUGGGUGAAGAAGGCCUUCGGGUUGUAAAGCCCUUUUGUUGGGAAAGAAAAGCAGCAGGUUAAUACCCCGCUGUUCUGACGGUACCCAAAGAAUAAGCACCGGCUAACUUCGUG
rnacentral:rRNA from 1 species